AUUGAACGCUGGCGGAAUGCUUUACACAUGCAAGUCGAGCGGCAGCGCGGGGCAACCUGGCGGCGAGCGGCGAACGGGUGAGUAAUACAUCGGAACGUGCCCAGACGUGGGGGAUAGCCCGGCGAAAGCCGGAUUAAUACCGCAUACGAUCUACGGAUGAAAGCGGGGAUCGCAAGACCUCGCGCGUCUGGAGCGGCCGAUGGCAGAUUAGGUAGUUGGUGGGGUAAAGGCUUACCAAGCCUACGAUCUGUAGCUGGUCUGAGAGGACGACCAGCCACACUGGGACUGAGACACGGCCCAGACUCCUACGGGAGGCAGCAGUGGGGAAUUUUGGACAAUGGGCGCAAGCCUGAUCCAGCCAUUCCGCGUGCAGGAUGAAGGCCCUCGGGUUGUAAACUGCUUUUGUACGGAACGAAAAGGCUCUCUCUAACAUAGGGGGUCAAUGACGGUACCUGAAGAAGAAGCACCGGCUAACUACGUGCCAGCAGCCGAC
rnacentral:rRNA from 1 species